CACCGCUCUCGAUCCCGUCUCCAAUGCCUUUCUUGAUUGAAUCCAAGUUCUUUUCGCGAAAUCUCUGUGUUUUUCUUUUGCAUCCAUGAGUGACACCGACUGAUCUCAAGUUUCGUGUGAUCUUUCGAGGGUUUCUUCAUUUGUUGUGUUUUUCUUUUUCUUUCGUUCUAUAAGAUCCGUUCGUAGGGUUCUUCAUUUUGUUUGUCUCACCGUAGGUUGAAGUGGAGAUUUCGCUGACGUGUUUGGAAAAUUGGUAUCGUGGGUUUCUUGUCUUCGAGGACUUGUGUAUCGAGCUCCCUCUUCUGAAGUGGAACUUUGAGGAUGCAUUUUGGCAGAACAGAACCAUAUUUCAAGCUUGCGGCCGCUGGGUUGUUGUAUUUCUAAUUUGUUUUUCUUUUGCAUCAAUUUAGCUUUUUUUAUAAAUUAUGUUUUUUCUCUAAUAGAAAAUGUAGGAUUUUGUUGCU